rnacentral:misc_RNA from 1 species
UCCGAGUUGACCCCGGCAGUCUCCUAUGAGUCCCCGGCAUGAUCCGCUGGCAACAUGGGACGAGGGUUGCGCUCGUUGCGGGACUUAACCCAACAUCUCACAACACGAGCUGACGACAGCCAUGCACCACCUGUCUCCGUGCCCCUUGCGGGGAAAACCCAUCUCUGAGCCGGUCACGGGAUGUCAAGGGCUGGUAAGGUUCUGCGCGUUGCGUCGAAUUAAACCACAUGCUCCACCGCUUGUGCGGGCCCCCGUCAAUUCCUUUGAGUUUUAGCCUUGCGGCCGUACUCCCCAGGCGGGGCACUUACUGCGUUAGCGACGGCACCGGGAGGGUCGCUCCCCCCGACGCCUAGUGCCCAUCGUUUACGGCGUGGACUAC